UUUUUGUGAAUAAUUUAAAGUCUAAUCUGCCCACUGAAUAAAAAUUUAAAGGGCUGCAGUAUAUUGACUGUACAAAGGUAGCAUAGUCAUUAGUCUUUUAAUUGGAGACUUGUAUGAAUGAUUUGAUGAAAUAUAAACUGUCUCUUUAUUAAUAAUAGAAUUUAAUUUUUUAGUCAAAAAGCUAAAAUUUAUAUAAAAGACGAGAAGACCCUAUAGAGUUUAAUUUUUUAAUUUUUAUGAAUAUUAUAUAAAAAUUAUAAUUUAUAAAAAUUAAAAAAUUUUGUUGGGGUGAUAGAAAAAUUUAAAAAACUUUUUUUAAAAAUUAACAUUAAUUUAUGAAUAUUUGAUCCAUAAUUUAUGAUUAAAAGAUUAAAUUACCUUAGGGAUAACAGCGUAAUUUUUUUUUUUAGUUCAAAUAAAAAAAAAAGUUUGCGACCUCGAUGUUGGAUUAAGAUAAAAUUUAAAUGCAAAAGUUUAAAAUUUUGAUCUGUUCGAUCAUUAAAAUCUUAC
rnacentral:rRNA from 1 species